UACGUAGGGGGCAAGCGUUGUCCGGAUUUAUUGGGCGUAAAGAGCGUGUAGGCGGCCUGACAGGUCUGCUGUGAAAACUCGAGGCUCAACCUCGAGAUGUCGGCGGAAACCGUCUGGCUAGAGUCCGGAAGAGGAGAGUGGAAUUCCUGGUGUAGCGGUGAAAUGCGCAGAUAUCUGGAGGAACACCGGUGGCGAAGGCGGCAUCCUGGACCGACACUGACGCUGAGGAGCGAAAGCCAGGGAGCAAACGGGAUUAGAGUACCU
rnacentral:rRNA from 1 species